rnacentral:rRNA from 1 species
CCUACGGGAGGCAGCAGUGGGGAAUAUUGGACAAUGGGCGCAAGCCUGAUCCAGCAAUGCCGCGUGUGUGAAGAAGGCCUGCGGGUUGUAAAGCACUUCGUGAAAACUUCUGUUACCCACAGAAGAAGCACCGGCUAACUCUGUGCCAGCAGCCGCGGUAAUACAGAGGGUGCGAGCGUUAAUCGGAAUUACUGGGCGUAAAGGGUGCGUAGGUGGUUGCAUAAGUUAGGUGUGAAAGUCCCGGGCUUAACCUGGGAUUGCGCCUGAUACUGUGUAGCUAGAGUACUGUAGAGGAAGGUGGAAUUUCCAGUGUAGCGGUGAAAUGCGUAGAUAUUGGAAGGAACAUCGGUGGCGAAGGCGACCUUCUGGACAGAACUGACACUGAGGCACGAAAGCAUGGGGAGCAAACAGGAUUAGAUACCCUGGUAGUC